GAUAAGAUAUGUAGGGCAGAAGGUGGAUGCCUUGGCGACGGACGGCGAUGAAGGACGUAGUAAGCUGCGAUAAGCCUCGGGGAGCCGCUAAACAGGCUUUGAUCCGGGGAUUUCCGAAUGGGAAAACCUGGCCGAGCAAACCUUAGUCAUAUUAUUGUGAAUACAUAGCAAUAAUAGGCAAACGAGGGGAAGUGAAACAUCUCAGUACCCUCAGGAAAAGAAAUCAACCGAGAUUCCCUUAGUAGCGGCGAGCGAAAGGGGAUUAGCCCAAACCGAGAAGACUUGUCUUCUCGGGGUUGUGGGACCUUAACAUGGGACACUAAUGGGUAGUAGAACAGUCUGGAAAGUCUGACCACAGAGGGUGACAGUCCCGUAUACAAAACCUUGAAGUGCCUUAGAGGUAUCCCGAGUACCCCGGAACACGUGAAAGUUUGGGGGAAUCUGGGAGGACCACCUUCCAAGGCUAAAUACGUGCCGUCGACCGAUAGUGAACAAGUACCGUGAGGGAAAGGUGAAAAGAACCCCGAUGAGGGGAGUGAAAUAGAAUCUGAAACCAUCUGCCCGUAACCAGUGGAAGGGCUAUGUCCUUUAUGGAAAUGCCUGACCGCGUG
rnacentral:rRNA from 2 species